AGCUUUGCGCAGUGGCAGUAUCGUAGCCAAUGAGGUUUAUCCGAGGCGCGAUUAUUGCUAAUUGAAUAGAAAGCACUCAGUGAAGGUGAGUUAUGAUUAUUAUCAUCAUAUGAAUUCCAAUUCCAACACUGUU
rnacentral:snRNA from 1 species